GUCACAGUAAACCUAUUUCUGAGAAAGGCAUUGCCCAAUGUGGCGAUGUCCGCUAUCUUAUGUGGGGUGAGGGCCAGUGAGUCAGGGAGGAAACAUACCAGAAAAUGAUCUUCGAUGACUAACACAGAAGGGGCUGUUCUCAUGUUGCCCUGAUGGAAAAAUUGGUGGGAUUGCAGGAAUUAAUAAGAACUAUCAGCCCUGCUUGGAUAUUCUGUCCUAAAUUGGUGACAUUUCUGGAGGCUGGGAAGUCCAAGAUCAAGGUGCUUGGUGAUUCAAUGUCUGGUGAGAGCCCACUUGCUGGUUUGUAACAGCAGCCUUCUUGCUGUGUCCUUACUCGCUGGAAGAACAAGAGAGCUCUGUGGGAUCUCUUUUAUAAGAGGCUAACCCCAUUUGUGAGAGCUCUGCCUUCAUGACCCAAUCACCUUCCAGAGGUCUCACCUCCCCAUCAUAAUGGAGAACAGCUUUCAACAUACGAAUCUGGGGAGGACACAUUUUGUCUAUAGAUAGCACAGAUGUGAUGGUGUUAGGAGGUGACGUCUUUGGGAGGUGAGAACGUCGUGAGGGUUGAGCCCGCAGGAAUGGGGUCAGCGUCCUGAUAAACCCUUGUUCCUCUCCUACGAUGGGAGGACACAGCGAGAAGAUGGCCAUCUGAGAGCCAAGAAUCGGGCUCUCACCAGAUACCGAAUCUGCCAGCCCCCCUGAUCUUGGACUCACCAGCCUCCCGAACCACGAACAAUAAAUAUUUGCCGUUUAA